rnacentral:rRNA from 1 species
UACGGGGGGGGCAAGCGUUGUUCGGAAUUACUGGGCGUAAAGGGCUCGUAGGUGGCCAACUAAGUCAGACGUGAAAUCCCUCGGCUUAACCGGGGAACUGCGUCUGAUACUGGAUGGCUUGAGUUCGGGAGAGGUGAGUGGAAUGCCGAGUGUAGAGGUGAAAUUCGUAGAUAUUCGGCGGAACACCAGUGGCGAAGGCGACUCACUGGCCCGAUACUGACGCUGAGGCGCGAAAGCGUGGGGAGCAAACAGG